rnacentral:rRNA from 1 species
AUUGAACGCUGGCGGCAGGCCUAACACCUGAAAGUCGAGCGGAGCGGCGGACGGGUGAGUAAUGCCUAGGAAUCUGCCUGGUCGUGGGGGAUAACGUACGGAAACGGGCGCUAAUACCGCAUACUCUCAGAUGAGCCUAGGUCGGCUUAGAUAGUUGGUGGGGUAAAGGCCUACAAAGGCGAAGAUACGUAACUGGUCUGAGAGGAUGAUCAGCAACACUGGAACUGAGACACGGUCCAGACUCCGACGGGAGGCAGCAGUGGGUAAUAUUGGACAAUGGGCGAAAGCCUGAUCCAGCCAUGCCGCGUGUGUGAAGAAGGUCUUCGGAUUGUAAAGCACUUUAAGUUGGGAGGCGUUACCAACAGAAUAAGCACCGGCUAACUUCGUGCCAGCAGCCGCGGUAAUAC